UCCUGCCUGAGGCAGCCUGCAGCCCACAGUGUCCACCCUGUCACAGGGCAUUUGCCAUUGCUGCUGCCAGGAGAUUUCCUGGCACUUGCUGGGGAGCAGGGACUCGCUGAGAAGGAAGAACUCAAUGUGGCAGCAGCCCGGAGCCAUGGGAGCCAUCAUGCUCACCCCCUGGCUUCUCACAGUGAAAGUCCUGACCCAGGAGCUGCAGCCAUGCAGGAGAUGGAAGGAAGCUAUGGGUGAGAGUGGGAUGUGAGCUCCAGGAAAAUUCAGCAGAAAUGUUUCCAGCAUGGUGCCUGAAAUUCAGCCUCUGUGGCCCAUCUUUCAAAGCAGAAAUGUGACCUGAAGAAGUGGAUGAAGUCAUGGUGCUGCUGGGCUGCAAGUGCCUCUUGAUUUCAGCAGGGUCAGGACAAGCCCCACCACACGCUGGCUUCUCAGUGCAAGAAACAGCACAGCAUGCUAAGACUUGGAGUCUUUUGGGGCUAAUUAUUUGUUUUAAAAGAAAAUAAAACAUCCAAGUCUGGAGCUUGUGGUUAAUAAAGAGCUUGUAGGAGCAAAGUUCAUUUUCCCUAGAGUUGUUUCAGUGGUGGAAGAACUUCAAGAUUUCUUUCUUCAGCUUCCUUGAAUUUGUCAUUGAAAGUUCCCUGAAUUAUGCCUGCAAACAUCUUUAUAUCUGAUCACAGAUGGAGCAUAAAUGCCAUGUUAUUGAAGUUGAAGGACACAGCUUACUUUCUGGGGAAUAAUACAUGGGAGGAAGCUGAUAGAGAAUUACUAGGACGAUUCUUGUUUUGUUUCCUUUUAACCAUGUUUCCUUCAAAGCUUCCAUCCACAGCACAAUACUCACCCACCCCCGUAACUAAUUCAUUAUUUUACAGCAAGUAAAAUCAAACAGGAGACAAAUGAUUGUUGUUUAGUGCCAUUAGUUUCAAUGGCUUUCCACAAUAUUUGAGUCAUUGGCUCUCAUCUUGCUUUGGAGGCAGCCCAAAUCUGGAUGAAUCUACGCACA